UGUUAAUCAAACAGUGUUAAUCUGCAUUUACUCUUAAGGAGUUAAUUUAACAACAAAUAGUGAAAAAUACCCCCUAGUGUUGGUGAAAAUAAUCAGAGUUGAAUUCUACUUCGUUAAAUUUACUCUGUUAAGCUCCGCCCCUUAAGCCAACUCUGAAGACCUGAGCGGAAGUUCUCUCGUCGCCAUUUUCUUUUGCCUCGCACUAAAAGCUUCUCCUGUGCACUCAAACAAGUCCCUGUCUUCAUCCUUUGACUCCACUGACUCACAGGACACACUCAUUAUUGAAGAACGGUUUUCAAGUACACGAAUGAGGCUCGAUGAUGAAGCUAAAAAAGUACAUCACAACCAAGGAAUGUGAAUGAGAAAUAUCCCAGAGUAAUUGUGGUGUUCCUGUAUCUCAGUGGACCCCACCCCCACGAGCAUUGCUAUGUUGGUGAGAGUGCCACCAGAUACUUGACAUGGAGAAUCAAAACUAUACAGAGAGGCAUUGCUAAAGAACAAGGAGUAUCAUUUGAAGGAAAAGGAUUGUCUUGUCAAGGCCAGAAAAGGUGUCUACAUCUCAAGUGGGGAUUAUCUUGUCUUCUAGAAGAGUGAAACAAGCAUUGAGGAGCAUCUUCAAGACAUCGCUGGAAGUGCUCAGUCCUAUCACCUGGCUGUUGAAACCGAGAAUUCAGUUCACCAGUUCUUUAUUCUUGAUCAACAUGUCAUUCCAUGCAAGUCAGCCUCUUCUUUUGUUGCCUUUUGAUGAAAUGUUUUAAUGGGAUUAUGUUUAAUGUUUAAUGGGUUUAAUUCACCUAAAAAUGAGAAUUCUGUCAUUAACUCUCCCUCAUGCCGUUCCAAACCCGUAAGACCUUCGUUCAUCUUUGAAACAACAAUGAAGAUAUUUUAAUGAAAUCUGAAAGUUUUCUGUCCCUCUGUUGACAGUUUACACAACUAGCACAUUCAAGGCCCCGACAAGUAGUAAUGAGACAUUAAAGUAAUCCAUGUUACUCUGUUGGUUUAACCUCAACUUUAUACACGCAUUCACACAACGACUGCUUUCAUUUCAGCAAAUCACUCAUGCGUCGUGGUGCUCUCAUGUACGCAAGUCCGGUUUUGCGUUGCUUCAUAAAACUGAAGUUAAAUCAACAGAGUCACAUGGGUAACUUUAAUGAUGUCUUUACUGCCUUUCUGCACCUUGAAAGUGGUAGUUGUGUAGGCUGUCAAUGAAGUGACAGAAGUCUCCCAGAU